rnacentral:rRNA from 1 species
GAUGAACGCUGGCGGCGUGCCUAAUACAUGCAAGUCGAACGCAUUGUGGUUGAAAUGAUAUGAAGAACUUGUUCAGAUUUGAUUUUAAACAUUGCAAUGAGUGGCGAACGGGUGAGUAACACGUGGGAAACCUACCUCUUAGCAGGGGAUAACAUUUGGAAACAAAUGCUAAUACCGUAUAAUAAUUAAAACCGCAUGGUUUUAGUUUAAAAGAUGGUCUUGCUAUCACUAAGAGAUGGUCCCGCGGUGUAUUAGUUAGUUGGUGAGGUAAUGGCUCACCAAGACAAUGAUACAUAGCCGAGUUGAGAGACUGACCGGCCACAAUGGGACUGAGACACGGCCCAUACUCCUACGGGAGGCAGCAGUAGGGAAUCUUCCACAAUGGACGAAAGUCUGAUGGAGCAACGCCGCGUGUGUGAUGAAGGGUUUCGGCUCGUAAAACACUGUUGUAAGAGAAGAAUGACAUUGAGAGUAACUGUUCAAUGUGUGACGGUAU